UACGUAGGGUGCGAGCGUUAAUCGGAAUUACUGGGCGUAAAGCGCGCGCAGGCGGUUCUUUAGGUCUGGUGUCGAAGUGCGGGGCUCAACCCCGUGAUGCACUGGAAACUGGGGAACUUGAGUGCAGAAGAGGAGAGCGGAAUUCCACGUGUAGCGGUGAAAUGCGUAGAGAUGUGGAGGAACACCAGUGGCGAAGGCGGCUCUCUGGACUGUAACUGACGCUGAGGCGCGAAAGCGUGGGGAGCAAACAGG
rnacentral:rRNA from 1 species